CCUACGGGGUGCAGCAGUGGGGAAUAUUGGACAAUGGGCGAAAGCCUGAUCCAGCCAUGCCGCGUGUGUGAAGAAGGCCUUCGGGUUGUAAAGCACUUUCAGUGGGGAAGAAAGCCUUGGGGCUAAUACCCUCGAGGAAGGACAUCACCCACAGAAGAAGCACCGGCUAACUCCGUGCCAGCAGCCGCGGUAAUACGGAGGGUGCGAGCGUUAAUCGGAAUUACUGGGCGUAAAGCGCGCGUAGGCGGUCUGAUAAGCCGGUUGUGAAAGCCCCGGGCUCAACCUGGGAACGGCAUCCGGAACUGUCAGGCUAGAGUGCAGGAGAGGAAGGUAGAAUUCCCGGUGUAGCGGUGAAAUGCGUAGAGAUCGGGAGGAAUACCAGUGGCGAAGGCGGCCUUCUGGACUGACACUGACGCUGAUGUGCGAAAGCGUGGGUAGCAAACAGGAUUAGAUACCCGGGUAGUC
rnacentral:rRNA from 1 species